UAAUCACAUAAAUCAAUAUGUCGUGGGACUUGCACUAUGUGCUUUAGGAAACAUCUGUUCAGCAGAAAUGGCUCAUGAUCUUGCACCAGAGGUUGAGAGAUUGCUACAAUUACGUGACCCCAAUAUUCGAAAGAAGAGCAUGCCGAAGCUACAGUCCAAGUUCUAACAUAAGCAAAUAGGAGAGUUGCAGCAGCUUCUCUGGUCCCGUUUCAAUUCCUAGGGAGCCUCCAAUUCCGCCAAUCCGUCGCUGCAUCCACAUAUCGCACAUUUCAAAUUACUGUUGAGACCACAGGAAGUCGAAUGGCACAUCGAUACUAUCAAUGUAUGUAUGUGCAAUGUAAUCAAUGUGAUACCGUCUUGAGAUGGUUACGAUGUGAUGUGCGGAUCUGUUUUGUAGAAGAUUCAUCAUGACAUGGUCAAGUUUCCGCUGCAUUAGUUCUCUGCUCCAUAGCUUUCACAGAUCCUAAGUCCAGGAAAUGUCGACUCUGCUGGCAGUCACAACAUCACCUGGUAUGCCCUUUUCUUUGAAGAUUGAAUAUUGGUGGAAUUUGCUCUAUGGUUGUAUGCUGCAGCUUCUUAAUCUGUAACCAUUGAACCGCAUCUUGACCUUAUGGUUUUUGCAUUCUGAUGUGAGUACCGUGUUGCCUGAAUUAAUUGAACCUGUAUCGUGAUUGCAUCACGCCCCUAGGUUAAAUGAAUUGAUUGGUUGAAUUGUGUGUGUUUAGUAGUGUAUGUAGGGCUGGAUUUUUACUGUGUGCAAUUAUUUGAAACUCAGAUUUUCGGUUCAAGAAAAUCUCUAAAAAUAGCUUCUCAUGAUUUUCAAGAACUACUCUUGCCGACUUCAUUGACGAUUCUAUUACUCCAAUUCGCCCUCUGCACCAAUCACAUGUGUCUUCCUCAACUUUACAAGAAGCUCGGGAAUUGUUUGGUGAUGUCGAUGAGUUUCUUUUGGCUUGCAGUCAUGUUCGAGGAUUAGAUGAUUUUAGAGAGACUAAGCUCGAGGAUGAGUUUGAGCCUAUUGUUCUCUCUGACAAAUAUAUGACAAAACGAUGAUCGGAUUAGGGAGCUUGAUAUUACAGAGAGAAUGCAAGUAUUCAUUCUCUAACAUUUCUGUGGAAUAAGAAAACAAAACCUACUGGUGCUUUCUUGUAACAUGAGUUUUUUCUUUUACUUGUGGAUAUUGGAACAAACUACUGGUGCUUCUUCACUUGAUGGAAAUAGCAUACAACAAAAGAGUAGCUGGAUGACAUAUGGGGUUGAAAACAAAGCGGGACAUGAGAAUUAUAAUGAUGAAGUAAUUGUUUUGUUGUGUUUAUAGAUUAAGGAACUGAAAUUGAAACUGAGAAAUUGUUUUGUUGUGUUUACAAAUUGGCCAAGAAAAGCAAAGGAUACUGUACAUGCAUUGUAAAAUUGAAUGCAUGAUUGUUUUAUUGAA